CAAUAGCGUAUAUUAAAGUUGUUGCAGUUAGAACGCUCGUAGUCGGAUUUCGGGGCGGGCCGACCGGUCUGCCGAUGGGUACGCACUGGUCGGCGCGUCCUUCCUUCCGGAGACCGUGCCUACUCUUAACUGAGCGGGGGCGGGAGACGGAUCGUUUACUUUGAAAAAAUCAGAGUGUUUCAAGCAGGCAGCUCGCUCUUGCAUGGAUUAGCAUGGGAUAAUGAAAUAGGACUUUGGUGCUAUUUUGUUGGUUUCGAACACCGAAGUAAUGAUUAACAGGGACAGUCAGGGGCACUCGUAUUCCGCCGAGAGAGGUGAAAUUCUUAGACCAGCGGAAGACGAACUACUGCGAAAGCAUUUGCCAGGGAUGUUUUCACUGA
rnacentral:rRNA from 1 species